GGAAUGUUUUGUGUAUGGAAUGUUUUGUGUAUGGAAUGUUUUGUGUAUGGAAUGUUUUGUGUAUGGAAUGUUUUGUGUAUGGAAUGUUUUGUGUAUGGAAUGUUUUGUGUAUGGAAUGUUUUGUGUAUGGAAUGUUUUGUGUAUGGAUUUUUAUAGCAGGGCGCCUCUUAAAGGGGUUAUCUCUUGGGUUGCCAUGAAGUGGAUGCAGAUGAUAUACCUGAAGAAGGAGGUGAAGUGAUUGGUGAACGUUGACUGACCUGUAUAGUGGAUGGAGUAAGGAAACCCACUUCGUCCAUGGUAUUGUUUUUUGAUGAGUCGGGCUUUAUGAGAUAACCUGUAAGAGCUUUUGUGCAUGAGAAUAUCGUAUGCCAGUUGAGGUUAUAUGCUGCAACUGUGGUGGUGAGCAUGCGCCUGAGUCCCUGGAUAGCCUUGUUAGUGUGAAGGAGACAGAGGUUGUUUGGAGCUGGUGAGAAGAGUGGAAGAAGCGAGUGGCGUUGAAGGCGUUAUGGUAAUUGAGACUGCACCAAUGAUUGAGGAUCCUGAUAUAUUUAAUGAUGGUAUUUAUGAAUAGACAAAGACAUCAAUCACGUGACACCAUUCAUUCCUAUGUGAAAACUUAAUAGCACAUUGAAGCCAAAUUAAGUGAGUUAAGAUGGCAUCUCAUGGAGAAAUAACAUACGCAGUUUGAGCUACUCCAGGAAGUGAUGUUCCAGGCUAGCUCUGUGCUGCCUCCUCUCAUUGAGUAAUGUUGCUUUCAAGACAACUGGGAACUCAAAAAAGGCCGGAAAGUCUGAGAUCUAGAAAGAUGUCGGAAGUUUCCGAUUUCAGAGUUUCCAGUCGUUUUGAACAUGGCAUACAUAACUCAAGUUGUGAAGGCCGUCCGGGGUGAUGCAGGCUGCCAUUAGCAACUAAAUUAUCCUUAUAACUUCUUCUGUGUGUAAUUCUAAAAUAAUCGGUUCAAAGACAUACAUCGGGUGUAUUACUGGUACCACGAGUGUCCUCUAAACAUUUUUUUACUCGAAGAUUGACAUUUUUCCAUUCACUAUUUUGGGCGAUCCUGUUUUCUGCUAACAAUGCAUGCAGUACCACGGUCGGCCUUGAACUUCCGUGACUUCAAUGAGAGGGCAGUCAUUCUCCCCUGGAUAUAUUACAUGUGAAAAGGGUAGACUUUGUAGCAUUUAUUGCAAUGCUCAUAAACUGCACAGCACAACAGAAGAAACAACCGGAGAAAAUGUGCAGCAGAACGCUUUUUGGGUUGAGCCUGUGUAGGGAUGUCUUGAAUUGGAAUGUGACUGAAGGAGUGGAAUGUUUAUGAAUGUCUCUAUUUUUGUAUUUUGGGUGAUGUCGUUUUUUCGCCCCUUUCAUACAAUGGGUAUGUUUUCUAUCGUUUACCACCCGUACCGUAGGUGGCAGAAUGCACCUCUAACACUUAUUUCCAGACCCCCUAAUACCAUAGUAGAAGAAGAAUUGAAUGCACACUUUACGAUUAGAUUGAAAAACUCGGGGAUAUUACAAAUAUUGCCGCGUAAGUACGUAGGCAGAUUGAGUUGUCAUGUUCGUGAGGAAGACAUCCAUAUGUGUUUAGUGGUUGCUGGAGGUUGAUCUGAAGAAUGAGUAAGUUAAGGUGUUAGCUAGCUAACAUGGGCGAAAUGGCGACUGCUGACUGUAGUAGCUAGAUUGUCAGCUGUUUGUUGUUGACAUUUAGCCAACACAGUAGACCUACUGACCCGUCUUCAGCAUUGCUCCGUCUUCUCGCUCAUGCUCGAUCUAGUGUUGCAGGUACGGCUUUGUGGAGUUCGAUGUGACGCCGACGGAGAACGAGUCAUCAUUGAACACGCUCGUGGUGGUGGGGGUUAUAGUUGGCGGAACUGGACGUAAGGCCACUGCGGGCAUAAGUUCGUAUCCCUUGAGGCUAAGAUGACUGGUUAAGAUGACUGCCUGUCCCGUUUUGCCUUGGCUUUCACCUUAAUGUGUGUGUGACCUUUGACGUAUGACCUCUUGGUUGACCUUACCAGAAGCCAUGAUGACUGCAGCCUUUUGCCAAUAGACAAAGGUGAUGACGGUAGUGGUUACAGCAGCCGAAGCCCCACUGGCUGAGAUAUGUAUUGGCCACCUGUACGCACAGAGUACCGCCUUAUUGUGGACAGCCUCUCCAGUCGCUGCAGCUGGCAGGACCUAAAGGACUUCAUGCGCCAAGCUGAUUGAGGUGACAUAUGCCGACACUCAUAAGGAGUGGCCCAAUGAAGGGGUGAUUGAGUUCUGCUCCCGCUCGGACAUGAGGGCCCUGGACAUGCUGGAUGGCACCAAAAUCAACGGGAGGAAGAUCUGCCUGGUGGAGGACAAGCCUUGCCACCGGCGCUCCUACUCUGGCAGCUGCUCCUGGUCAGGAUAGUCCUGGGCCUACCACAUAAGGCAGCCGUUGGGUCCUUAUGGCCCUCCUGUGGAAGUGGUGAUAUGUUUAAUUUGCUGUUUUUCUACUACAAAAGCUGAUAAGUUAUCCAGGCUUACAAUGUGUUUGAUCUCCCAGGUCUCAUAGCAGAUGUCACUUUCGCAGCAGGAGCAGAAGUUUUGGCAGCCACUCCAGGUCUCGCUUACGGUCACACUCGUAGUACACACCGCUCUCGAUCCAGGUCCAACCAGAAAUCACGUUCUAGAUCCGGGAAUUCCCACCUCUCCAAGUCACUCAAAUCCCGUUCCAAGUCCCGCUCACGUUCUCGCACCAGGAAGUCAUGUUCUCACUCCCACAAGUCUCGUAGCUGCUCAGUGAGCCUCAAAUCCAGCUCUCACUCCGACGCCCGUAUGUCUCGCUCCAAGAGCUAGUCUAAAGUCUAGUCUGAGCAGGAAUCCAGAAGCCACUCCAAAGAGAAGUCUGUCAGCAAGAAGUCCUAGAGUCGCUCCCCGACCCCCACAGAGAAUGGAAACAGAGCGUGCCCAGUCCGCCUCCAAGUCUCCCUCCCCACAAGAAGACCAUCCUAAAUCGAAGUACCCCGCCAUGCACUCAGUCUCUCGCUCCCCCUCAUGCUCUAAAUCCUUCUCCCGCUCCCGAUCCAGGUUGACUUCCAAAAAUGUAAUUGCACUUGUUUUAGUAGGAAGUAUGGAAGAUGGUUUUAAAAUAAUUUACAAAUCGAAUGCAGUGUUUCAAUUUGCCCCACUAUGAGCAUUUGGUUUUAUUGAAGUUGGGAAUGUAUUGCUUUUUAACAUUGUUUUUAACUUUGCAUGAGAACCAGGAUGAAAGAUUGUAGAUUGCUGUGGAACGCAUUGUAGAGGAAUUGUUCUCAAUUUCCUUAUCUGUAUGAGAUUGCUUAUGCUUCAUGUUAUAGUUACUGGUUGAUGUUUGUUUCAAGAGGAAAUUAUUGAUUCUUAUUUGUAAUCUCUUCCUUGCCAUCUUCUGCAUUGCUUUGAAACUCUCCUUCCAGACCCACAUCAAACAUCUCCAAUCCAAAGUUAAAUCUAGAAUUGGCUUCCUAUUUCGCAACAAAGCAUCCUUCACUCAUGCUGCCAAACAUACCCUUGUAAAACUGACCAUCCUACCAAUCCUCGACUUCGGCGAUGUCAUUUACAAAAUAGCCUCCAAUACCCUACUCAACAAAUUGGAUGCAGUUUAUCACAGUGUCAUCCGUUUUGUCACCAAAGCCCCAUAUACUACCCACCAUUGCGACCUGUACGCUCUCGUUGGCUGGCCCUCGCUUCAUACUCGUCGCCAAACCCACUGGCUCCAUGUCAUCUACAAGACCCUGCUAGGUAAAGUCCCCCCUUAUCUCAGCUCGCUGGUCACCAUAGCAUCUCCCACCUGUAGCACACGCUCCAGCAGGUAUAUCUCUCUGGUCACCCCCAAAACCAAUUCUUUCUUUGGCCGCCUCUCCUUCCAGUUCUCUGCUGCCAAUGACUGGAACGAACUACAAAAAUCUCUGAAACUGGAAACACUUAUCUCCCUCACUAGCUUUAAGCACCAACUGUCAGAGCAGCUCACUGUACCUGUACAUAGCCCACCUAUAAUUUAGCCCAAACAACUACCUCUUUCCCUACUGUAUUUAUUUAGCUCCUUUGCACCCCAUUAUUUUUUAUUUCUACUUUGCACAUUCUUCCACUGCAAAUCUACCAUUCCAGUGUUUUACUUGCUAUAUUGUAUUUACUUUGCCACCAUGGCCUUUUUUUGCCUUUACCUCCCUUAUCUCACCUCAUUUGCUCACAUCGUAUAUAGACUUGUUUCUACUGUAUUAUUGACUGUAUGUUUGUUUUACUCCAUGUGUAACUCUGUGUUGUUGUAUGUGUCGAACUGCUUUGCUUUAUCUUGGCCAGGUCGCAAUUGUAAAUGAGAACUUGUUCUCAACUUGCCUACCUGGUUAAAUAAAGGUGAAAUAAAAUAAAUACAAAAUACA